UAAGGAAUAUUGCGCAAUGGGGGAAACCCUGACGCAGCAACGCCGCGUGGAGGAUGACACUUUUCGGAGCGUAAACUCCUUUUAUCAGGAAAGAAUAAUGACGGUACCUGAUGAAUAAGCACCGGCUAACUCCGUGCCAGCAGCCGCGGUAAUACGGGGGGUGCAAGCGUUACUCGGAAUCACUGGGCGUAAAGGACGCGUAGGCGGAUUAUCAAGUCUUUUGUGAAAUCUAGUGGCUUAACCACUAAACUGCUUAGGAAACUGAUAGUCUAGAGUAGGGGAGAGGUAGAUGGAAUUCUUGGUGUAGGAGUAAAAUCCGUAGAGAUCAAGAAGAAUACCCAUUGCGAAAGCGAUCUGCUGGAACCUAACUGACGCUGAGGCGUGAAAGCGUGGGUAGCAACCAGG
rnacentral:rRNA from 1 species